UUCUCCAAUGGAUUGCAUGGAAAUGUGGACACAGGAUUUGUUCCCUUACAUCUACUACUACCCUGGAAUCUUGUUCUUGAAGAUAUAUAAACUGAUACUAGAAAACCUUACAGGGUAUUUUUUUUCUUCUUGAAAGUUGACUAGGAUCUUACUGUCCCCUAUUAUUUCUAAAAGCAACCAAACAGUCCAUGAUGUGAAAAUCUCAUCUUGAAUAAUUUUGCUCCAAGUUGCCAUGUCAGUAGCUUUAUAUGAUGAUCCAAGGUUGGAGUCAUCCCAUUAAAAGUGUCAAAGAUUCACUUCCUAGUUUCCAUCCCUUUAAAUACCUCUUUGAAAUACAAGGGAAUGAUCAACCCAAGUUAGCAUAACUACCACCACCUGUUCCUCUUCAUCCGCUAUUUGACUUUUUUAGUGAGAGAUCAAUGAAAGUUUUCAGCCAGAAAGGGCACAUGUUGAGGAUCCAUUAUAAGGUUGCCACUCCAUUGAAGAAGAUCAAGUUUGUAAACCAAAGUAAAAAUGUUCAGAAGCCAACACAAAAGUACAUUGAGAUAGUCACAGAAAACCUUUUGAUUUCUGGUUUAUGGGGAUGAUGAAAUAUCAGAAAACCUUGAAAUAUCUUGAGCAGGCUGUUUCUCAAGCUUAGUUGAGUAGCGAAAUCCACUGUUUGAGUUUGAGGCUUCAUGUUGUCAGGACAAACAUAUAGAUACAAGAGAGAUGAUCAGAAACAAAAUAAAAAUUGGCAGGCUGGCAGCAAUUAUUGAAGACAUUGGACUUUGUCUUUGAUAAAAGCAGCUUCAUUGUUUUAUCCAUUGUGCUGGACACAACAUGUUGGUGUGACAGCAAAUAGAAGUGGUUCAUAUCAGUUGAAUUGAAGCACUUGGUUGCUAGUACAAUGUGGACAAAAGGUUUUGAGUACAAGAGUUCAUCAUUGGUGCCUUAUUUAUUGCAGAAUGCAAGCCACAUGUAUUUCAGUGGAUGACUGGUUGUUAAUGCUAAUUAGUUAAGGACCAAAGGGCUUUUGCAGAAGGUAUCCGUCCAUGGACUAGCCUAUGUUAGAGCUAGCUGGUCGAUGAAGGGAGAUUACGGUGGAAGAAAAGUUCAAAGGAAAGAUAAACUGAAGGGUACUAAAUUGCUAGUUGCCCAACUGUAGAAGUAUAGGCUCAAUUAUUUGUAAAUUUGAUCAUGUAAAUAUUUUCAUAACCAGGUUACCGAAAUUGUAUUCCAGAUUGUACUCUUCCUAUCCAACUCUUUAAUCAAAUUUGCAUAUAAUCUUUUAAA